UACAGAGGGUGCAAGCGUUGUUCGGAAUUACUGGGCGUAAAGCGCGUGUAGGCGGUUUGACAAGUUGGGUGUGAAAUCCCUCGGCUUAACCGAGGAACUGCAUUCAAAACUAUCAGACUUGAGUAUCGGAGGGGGUGGCGGAAUUCCUGGUGUAGAGGUGAAAUUCGUAGAUAUCAGGAGGAACACCCGUGGCGAAGGCGGCCACCUGGAAGAUUACUGACGCUGAGACGCGAAAGCGUGGGGAG
rnacentral:rRNA from 1 species